rnacentral:rRNA from 1 species
GUGGGGAAUUUUGGACAAUGGGCGCAAGCCUGAUCCAGCAAUGCCGCGUGCAGGAAGAAGGCCUUCGGGUUGUAAACUGCUUUUGUACGGAACGAAACGGCUCUGGUUAAUACCCGGGGCUAAUGACGGUACCGUAAGAAUAAGCACCGGCUAACUACGUGCCAGCAGCCGCGGUAAUACGUAGGGUGCAAGCGUUAAUCGGAAUUACUGGGCGUAAAGCGUGCGCAGGCGGUUUUGUAAGACAGGCGUGAAAUCCCCGGGCUCAACCUGGGAAUGGCGCUUGUGACUGCAAAGCUGGAGUGCGGCAGAGGGGGAUGGAAUUCCGCGUGUAGCAAUGAAAUGCGUAGAUAUGCGGAGGAACACCGAUGGCGAAGGCAAUCCCCUGGGCCUGCACUGACGCUCAUGCACGAAAGCGUGGGGAGCAAACAGGAUUAGAUACCCUUGUAGUC